ACCUCCGUAGCUCAGUGAAUAGAGCAAAGAACUUCUAAUUCUUAGGUCGCAGGUUUGAAUCCUGCCGGAGGUACCA
rnacentral:tRNA from 1 species